AUACGGAGGGUGCAAGCGUUACUCGGAAUCACUGGGCGUAAAGCGCGCGCAGGCGGUUUGAUAAGUUGGAUGUGAAAUCCUGUGGCUCAACCAUAGAACUGCAUCCAAAACUGUCAAACUAGAGUCUGGGAGAGGAAGAUGGAAUUAGUUGUGUAGGGGUAAAAUCCGUAGAGAUAACUAGGAAUACCAAAAGCGAAGGCGAUCUUCUGGAACAGUACUGACGCUGAGGCGCGAAAGCGUGGGGAGCAAACAGGAUUAGAAACCCGGGUAGUCC
rnacentral:rRNA from 1 species